CACUAGAUAGUUUAAAAUAGAAUUCCGCCUUUGGGAGUUGGGAGUGGGACAAGAAAUCUCUCUUUUCUGA
rnacentral:tRNA from 1 species